AUUGAACGCUGGCGGCAGGCUUAACACAUGCAAGUCGAGCGGAGAUGAGGUGCUUGCACCUUAUCUUAGCGGCGGACGGGUGAGUAAUGCUUAGGAAUCUGCCUAUUAGUGGGGGACAACAUUCAGAAAGGAAUGCUAAUACCGCAUACGUCCUACGGGAGAAAGCAGGGGAUCUUCGGACCUUGCGCUAAUAGAUGAGCCUAAGUCGGAUUAGCUAGUUGGUGGGGUAAAGGCCUACCAAGGCGACGAUCUGUAGCGGGUCUGAGAGGAUGAUCCGCCACACUGGGACUGAGACACGGCCCAGACUCCUACGGGAGGUAGCAGUGGGGAAUAUUGGACAAUGGGGGGAACCCUGAUCCAGCCAUGCCGCGUGUGUGAAGAAGGCCUUAUGGUUGUAAAGCACUUUAAGCGAGGAGGAGGCUACUGAGACUAAUACUCUUGGAUAGUGGACGUUACUCGCAGAAUAAGCACCGGCUAACUCUGUGCCAGCCGCCGCAGUAAGAC
rnacentral:rRNA from 1 species